UACGAAGGGGGCUAGCGUUGCUCGGAAUGACUGGGCGUAAAGGGCGCGUAGGCGGCUUGCACCGUCAGAUGUGAAAUUCCUGGGCUUAACCUGGGGGCUGCAUUUGAUACGUGUGGGCUUGAGUGCGGAAGAGGGUCGUGGAAUUCCCAGUGUAGAGGUGAAAUUCGUAGAUAUUGGGAAGAACACCGGUGGCGAAGGCGGCGACCUGGUCCGUGACUGACGCUGAGGUGCGAAAGCGUGGGGAGCAAACAGG
rnacentral:rRNA from 1 species